rnacentral:tRNA from 1 species
GUUCUUAUAGUUGAAUAACAACGGUGGUUUUUCAUGCCACAGGUCAUGGAUAGCCCAUGUAGGAAUU